rnacentral:rRNA from 1 species
AGUGAACGCUGGCGGUAGGCCUAACACAUGCAAGUCGAACGGCAGCACAGUAAGAGCUUGCUCUUACGGGUGGCGAGUGGCGGACGGGUGAGGAAUACAUCGGAAUCUACUUUUUCGUGGGGGAUAACGUAGGGAAACUUACGCUAAUACCGCAUACGACCUACGGGUGAAAGCAGGGGAUCUUCGGACCUUGCGCGAUUGAAUGAGCCGAUGUCGGAUUAGCUGGUUGGCGGGGUAAAGGCCCACCAAGGCGACGAUCCGUAGCUGGUCUGAGAGGAUGAUCAGCCACACUGGAACUGAGACACGGUCCAGACUCCUGCGGGAGGCAGCAGUGGGGAAUAGUGGACAAUGGGCGCAAGCCUGGUCCAGCCAUACCGCGUGGGUGAAGAAGGCCUUCGGGUUGUAAAGCCCUUUUGUUGGGAAAGAAAAGCAGCAGGUUAAUACCCCGCUGUUCUGACGGUACCCAAAGAAUAAGCACCGGCUAACUUCGUG